CAGAUCAUUUUCUCAAGCAUUGUAUUCCUAGGAAUUGGUUUCUCAGAAAUAAUAUUUUAGAAAAAAAAAAUUCUUUCUGCGAACCAAACGAGUCCUUAUAUUUUUUAUGAGUGCAUGGUCAAAAUGGCUGGUAGACCAAAAAUGAAGCUGUGCUUAGAGCACACGACGCAUUUGUCACUGAGUUGGCCUAGCAAUUGGCAUCUCUAAGUUCACUUCCGAACCGAAUAUGAUUUGGGCC
rnacentral:lncRNA from 1 species